rnacentral:rRNA from 1 species
AGCGAACGCUGGCGGCAGGCUUAACACAUGCAAGUCGAGCGCCGUAGCAAUACGGAGCGGCAGACGGGUGAGUAACACGUGGGAAUCUACCCUUGGGUUCGGAAUAACUUCGGGAAACUGAAGCUAAUACCGGAUGAUGACGUAAGUCCAAAGAUUUAUCGCCCAGGGAUGAGCCCGCGUAGGAUUAGCUAGUUGGUGAGGUAAAGGCUCACCAAGGCGACGAUCCUUAGCUGGUCUGAGAGGAUGAUCAGCCACACUGGGACUGAGACACGGCCCAGACUCCUACGGGAGGCGGCAGUAGGGAAUAUUGGACAAUGGGGGCAACCCUGAUCCAGCAAUGCCGCGUGAGUGAUGAAGGCCUUAGGGUUGUAAAGCUCUUUUACCCGGGAUGAUAAUGACAGUACCGGGAGAAUAAGCCCCGGCUAACUCCGUGCCAGCCGCCGCGGUAAUAC